GACGAACGCUGGCGGCGUGCUUAACACAUGCAAGUCGAACGGAAAGGCCCUGCUUUUGUGGGGUGCUCGAGUGGCGAACGGGUGAGUAACACGUGAGUAACCUGCCCUUGACUUUGGGAUAACUUCAGGAAACUGGGGCUAAUACCGGAUAGGAGCUCCUGCUGCAUGGUGGGGGUUGGAAAGUUUCGGCGGGUGGGGAUGGACUCGCGGCUUAUCAGCUUGCUGGUGGGGUAGUGGCUUACCAAGGCUUUGACGGGUAGCCGGCCUGGGAGGGUGAACGGCCACAUUGGGACUGAGAGACGGACCAGACUCCUACGUGAGGCAGCAGGGGGGAAUAUUGCACAAUGGGCGGAAGUCUGAUGCAGCAGCGCCGCGUGCGGGAUGACGGCCUUCUGGUUGUAAACCGCUUUCGCCUGUGACGAAGCGUGAGUGACGGUAAUGGGUAAAGAAGCACCGGCUAACUACGUG
rnacentral:rRNA from 1 species